UACGUAGGGGGCAAGCGUUGUCCGGAAUCAUUGGGCGUAAAGCGCGCGUAGGCGGCCCGGUAAGUCCGCUGUAAAAGUCCAGGGCUCAACCCUGGAAAGCCGGUGGAUACUGUCGGGCUAGAGUCCGGAAGAGGCGAGUGGAAUUCCUGGUGUAGCGGUGGAAUGCGCAGAUAUCAAGAGGAACACCUGAGGUGAAGACGGGUUGCUGGGCCAACACUGACGCUGAGGCGCGAAAGCCAGGGGAGCAAACGGG
rnacentral:rRNA from 1 species